GCCUAGUUAGCUUAGUUGGUAGUGCGUCUGCCUUGUAAGCGCUAGGCCGCGGGUGCGAUUCCCGCCCGGGGCG
rfam:Asian citrus Psyllid, Diaphorina citri - Florida Strain, whole genome shotgun sequence.